CUGCGACAUUUAAGAUGAGUUUCGUGUGGAUUUCUGUGGGUCGAACAGCAAAUGUAUACGCAAAUUUAAGUUUUACACAUUACCAAUGGGUAAUGCCUGUGUCUCUGUGUGGGAAUGAGUGUUACGUGUGUGUGUGUGUUGUACGAUCUAAUAUACUAUGUAGAUAUAUCUAUGAAUACUUUAUAUAAUUGUUAAGUCCGUACUUGAUAAUAAUAAUAUAUUGUAUAAUUAUACUGCAUAAGAAGCUAAGGAAACGGAAUUUCAAAUCAUU
rnacentral:lncRNA from 1 species